UACGUAGGGGGCAAGCGUUGUUCGGAAUUACUGGGCGUAAAGGGCGCGUAGGCGGCACGGCAAGUCGGGAGUGAAAGCCCGAGGCUCAACCCCGGAGGGUCUCUCGAAACUGCCGAGCUAGAGUGCGGAAGAGGCAAUCGGAAUUCCCAGUGUAGCGGUGAAAUGCGUAGAUAUUGGGAAGAACACCGGAGGCGAAGGCGGAUUGCUGGGCCGACACUGACGCUGAGGCGCGAAAGCCAGGGGAGCAAACGGG
rnacentral:rRNA from 1 species